AUUGAACGCUGGCGGCAUGCCUUACACAUGCAAGUCGAACGGUAACAGGUCUUCGGAUGCUGACGAGUGGCGAACGGGUGAGUAAUGCAUCGGAACGUGCCCAGUAGUGGGGGAUAGCACGGCGAAAGCCGGAUUAAUACCGCAUACGACCUGAGGGUGAAAGGGGGGGAUCGCAAGACCUCUCGCUAUUGGAGCGGCCGAUGUCAGAUUAGCUAGUCGGUGGGGUAAAGGCCUACCAAGGCAACGAUCUGUAGUUGGUCUGAGAGGACGACCAGCCACACUGGGACUGAGACACGGCCCAGACUCCUACGGGAGGCAGCAGUGGGGAAUUUUGGACAAUGGGCGCAAGCCUGGUCCAGCAAUGCCGCGUGCAGGAAGAAGGCCUUCGGGUUGUAAACUGCUUCUGUCAGGGAAGAAAUCUUCUGGGUUAAUACCUCGGGAGGAUGACGGUACCUGAAGAAUAAGCACCGGCUAACUACGUGCCAGCAGCCGCGGUAAUAC
rnacentral:rRNA from 1 species